UACGUAGGGUGCAAGCGUUGUCCGGAUUUAUUGGGCGUAAAGAGCUCGUAGGCGGCUUGUCGCGUCGAAUGUGAAAACUCGGGGCUCAACUCCGAGCUUGCAUUCGAUACGGGCAGGCUAGAGUUCGGUAGGGGAGACUGGAAUUCCUGGUGUAACGGUGAAAUGCGCAGAUAUCAGGAGGAACACCGGUGGCGAAGGCGGGUCUCUGGGCCGAUACUGACGCUGAGGAGCGAAAGCGUGGGGAGCGAACAGG
rnacentral:rRNA from 1 species